UACGGAGGGUGCUAGCGUUGUUCGGAAUUACUGGGCGUAAAGCGUGCGUAGGCGGCCCAUUAAGUCAGACGUGAAAGCCCCGAGCUCAACUUGGGAAUUGCGUUUGAUACUGAUGGGCUAGAGUUCUAGAGAGGUAAGUGGAAUUCCUAGUGUAGAGGUGAAAUUCGUAGAUAUUAGGAGGAACACCAGAGGCGAAGGCGGCUUACUGGCUAGACACUGACGCUGAGGUACGAAAGCGUGGGGAGCAAACAGG
rnacentral:misc_RNA from 1 species